rnacentral:sRNA from 2 species
GUACAUAUAGCGCCUAAUUCCCUGAGCCUUAGUGGCUUCGGGAAGCCGGGGACCCAAGCAGGAUUUUCUCUCUGGGGUGAAUGCGAACGAGAGCGGAGUUUUCCGUGGAAGUCGUAAGGCUGGUUCUCUAGCCCAACCCGUCAGCUAACUCGGUCGGCAAAAGAGAAGAUAU